AAUAUUGCACAAUGGGCGCAAGCCUGAUGCAGCCAUGCCGCGUGUAUGAAGAAGGCCUUCGGGUUGUAAAGUACUUUCAGCAGUGAGGAAGGUGGAUAUGUUAAUAGCAUAUUCAUUUGACGUUAGCUGCAGAAGAAGCACCGGCUAACUCCGUGCCAGCAGCCGCGGUAAUACGGAGGGUGCGAGCGUUAAUCGGAAUUACUGGGCGUAAAGCGCAUGCAGGUGGUUUGUUAAGUCAGAUGUGAAAGCCCGGGGCUCAACCUCGGAAUUGCAUUUGAAACUGGCAAACUAGAGUACUGUAGAGGGGGUAGAAUUUCAGGUGUAGCGGUGAAAUGCGUAGAGAUCUGAAGGAAUACCCGGUGGCGAAGGCGGCCCCCUGGACAGAUACUGACACUCAGAUGCGAAAGCGUGGGGAGCAAACAGGAUUAGAUACCCUGGUAG
rnacentral:rRNA from 1 species